AUUGAACGCUGGCGGCAUGCUUUACACAUGCAAGUCGAACGGCAGCGCGGGCUUCGGCCUGGCGGCGAGUGGCGAACGGGUGAGUAAUGCAUCGGAACGUGCCCAGUAGUGGGGGAUAGCCCGGCGAAAGCCGGAUUAAUACCGCAUACGACCUGAGGGUGAAAGCGGGGGACCGAAAGGCCUCGCGCUAUUGGAGCGGCCGAUGUCGGAUUAGCUAGUUGGUGGGGUAAAGGCUUACCAAGGCGACGAUCCGUAGCUGGUCUGAGAGGACGACCAGCCACACUGGGACUGAGACACGGCCCAGACUCCUACGGGAGGCAGCAGUGGGGAAUUGUGGACAAUGGGGGCAACCCUGAUCCAGCCAUGCCGCGUGCGGGAAGAAGGCCUUCGGGUUGUAAACCGCUUUUGUUCGGGAAGAAAUCCUCUGGGCUAAUACCCCGGGGGGAUGACGGUACCGGAAGAAUAACCACCGGCUAACUACG
rnacentral:rRNA from 1 species